GACGAACGCUGGCGGCGUGCUUAACACAUGCAAGUCGAACGGAAAGGCCCUGCUUUUGUGGGGUGCUCGAGUGGCGAACGGGUGAGUAACACGUGAGUAACCUGCCCUUGACUUUGGGAUAACUUCAGGAAACUGGGGCUAAUACCGGAUAGGAGCUCCUGCUGCAUGGUGGGGGUUGGAAAGUUUCGGCGGUUGGGGAUGGACUCGCGGCUUAUCAGCUUGUUGGUGGGGUAGUGGCUUACCAAGGCUUUGACGGGUAGCCGGCCUGAGAGGGUGACCGGCCACAUUGGGACUGAGAUACGGCCCAGACUCCUACGGGAGGCAGCAGUGGGGAAUAUUGCACAAUGGGCGGAAGCCUGAUGCAGCAACGCCGCGUGCGGGAUGACGGCCUUCGGGUUGUAAACCGCUUUCGCCUGUGACGAAGCGUGAGUGACGGUAAUGGGUAAAGAAGCACCGGCUAACUACGUGCCAGCAGCCGCGGUGAUACGUAGGGUGCGAGCGUUGUCCGGAUUUAUUGGGCGUAAAGGGCUCGUAGGUGGUUGAUCGCGUCGGAAGUGUAAUCUUGGGGCUUAACCCUGAGCGUGCUUUCGAUACGGGUUGACUUGAGGAAGGUAGGGGAGAAUGGAAUUCCUGGCGGAGCGGUGGAAUGCGCAGAUAUCAGGAGGAACACCAGUGGCGAAGGCGGUUCUCUGGGCCUUUCCUGACGCUGAGGAGCGAAAGCGUGGGGAGCGAACAGGCUUAGAUACCCUGGUAGUCCACGCUGUAAACGGUGGGUACUAGGUGUGGGGUCCAUUCCACGGGUUCCGUGCCGUAGCUAACGCUUUAAGUACCCCGCCUGGGGAGUACGGCCGCAAGGCUAAAACUCAAAGGAAUUGACGGGGCCCCGCACAAGCGGCGGAGCAUGCGGAUUAAUUCGAUGCAACGCGUAGAACCUUACCUGGGUUUGACAUGGGUCGGGAGUGCUCAGAGAUGGGUGUGCCUCUUUUGGGGUCGGUUCACAGGUGGUGCAUGGCUGUCGUCAGCUCGUGUCGUGAGAUGUUGGGUUAAGUCCCGCAACGAGCGCAACCCUUGUUCACUGUUGCCAGCACGUUAUGGUGGGGACUCAGUGGAGACCGCCGGGGUCAACUCGGAGGAAGGUGGGGAUGACGUCAAGUCAUCAUGCCCCUUAUGUCCAGGGCUUCACGCAUGCUACAAUGGCUGGUACAGAGAGUGGCGAGCCUGUGAGGGUGAGCGAAUCUCGGAAAGCCGGUCUCAGUUCGGAUUGGGGUCUGCAACUCGACCUCAUGAAGUCGGAGUCGCUAGUAAUCGCAGAUCAGCAACGCUGCGGUGAAUACGUUCCCGGG
rnacentral:rRNA from 1 species